rnacentral:rRNA from 1 species
CACGAACGCUGGCGGCAGGCUUAACACAUGCAAGUCGAACGCCCCGCAAGGGGAGUGGCAGACGGGUGAGUAACGCGGGGGACUCUACCCAGUUCUACGGCACAAGUGAGGGAAACUUCAGCUAAUACCGUAUACGCCCUACGGGGGAAAGAUUUAUCGGAAUUGGAUGGGCCCGCUUUGGAUUGGCUAGUGGGUGGGGUAAUGGCUCACCAAGGCGACGACCCAUAGCUGGUCUGAGAGGAUGAUCAGCCACACUGGGACUGAGACACGGCCCAGACUCCUACGGGAGGCAGCAGUGGGGAAUAUUGGACAAUGGGCGCAAGCCUGAUCCAGCCAUGCCGCGUGAGUGAUGAAGGCCUUAGGGUUGUAAAGCUCUUUCAGUGGGGACGAUAAUGACGGUACCCACAGAAGAAGCCCCGGCUAACUUCGUGCCAGCCGCCGCCGUAACAC